UGUGAGUUAGCAGUCUAGCGAUUGAAGUCUGUGGUCGAAUAUACCGGCUCCAUUGUAUAAAUUGAUAUAAAUUUAUGACAUUGGUUACGUUCAGAAAACACAAGUUAUCGGAGAACAGUGAUUAUUGGUCCUUACUGUUAGAUUUUUAAAUUUAGACCAAUUAUAUUAGCAAAUUACUAUUGUGCAACGGUUGUGUUUUCCGAACGUAGCAAUUGCAUAUUGCUGUUGACAUUUCUCGUUUUUCUUUUUUUUGUCUAUUGAAAGUUGUUAAAGCGCCAAGUUUAAUUUAAUUUAACAAUGAAAAAUAAUAAUUCAGGCACUAUAAGCUAUUAUGAAAGUUAUUUCUAUUUUUUUGCGUGGUCAAGUGCCAUUAUUUAUUCAAUAUAUCAAUUUUAUUUGGCAAACAAUUAUUUCAGUGACUAUUACGAUGCAUACGGCGAUUUUAAAUCGGGAUGGGUUUGGAUUGGAAAGAAACAAGAUGUUUCUGAUCAAGAAUGGCUCGUAUGGCUUACGUUUGUGAACAGAUUGGUACCUUGGGCUUUUAUACAACAUUUUUUCAGCCAAUUUAUUAAAGUCAAUAGUAACAGUAUGACAUUAUCCUGUUGGUAUAUUCUAUCAUCAAUAAUGUUUCUUUAUUACUACUUGGGUACAUUGUGUUUGUUAUGUAUAAUACUGCAGCCUAUUUUUUUACACAUACUGACAUGUAUCUGCAAUAAAACUACAGCCUGGACUAUACAUAUUUUGUAUCUAUUUGUAAUACAUAUAUUAAAAAUACCGAAUGGUGCUUUUCAAAGUUGGUUGGAAAUCACUGAUGAGAAGCACUAUGUUUUAACACUUAUACUGUGUUGGAUACAUUUAAAAAGCAUCAGUCACAAUAUGGACAGCAUUGACAAUCAAUUUGUCAGUUCAAAUAACUUUAUUCAGAAAUUGGCUUACUGCUUAUAUUUGCCUACAUUGUUUUUAGGACCACUUAUUUUGUAUCAUGAAUUUGUGGAAUCUAUUAAUCGACAACAGCAAUAUUGGAACUGCCAAAAACUUUUGACUUUUAUAUUGAAUUUAGUUAGGUACAUAUUUUGGUUGUACUUCACUGAAUUGUCUCUACAUUUUGUUUAUGUAAACGCUAUACAGUACCAUCCGCAGGUUGUACAAAAUAUGAAUUCUUGGGCAUUAUAUGGUUUAGGAUAUUGCAUGGGACAAUUUUUUUUAAAUAAAUAUGUUAUUAUUUAUGGAACAUGCAGUAGCUUAUGUCACUUAGAUAAUAUAGAUGCCCCAUCGCAACCGAAAUGCAUAGCUAGAAUACAUUUAUAUUCCGACAUGUGGAAGCAUUUUGAUAGAGGAUUAUAUAAAUUUCUUAUAAGUAUGAAGAAAUCUGCGGUUGAGGAUCAUCGAAUGCUCUCAAAUACGUAUGGUGAGGCCGCUAAUAAAAAGAACGUGCUGAGAGUGGUUUCAACGCUUCAAGAACGGUGAUUUACACGUUGACCAGCGGUGGAAGAGAGAAAGGUUUUGAAGAUGCAAAAUUGGAGGCAUUACUUGAUCAAGACUCAUGUCAAACGCAAGAAGAAUUGGCAGGAUCAUUGGGAGUGACUCAACAAGCCAUUUCAAAACGCCUGAAAGUCAUGGGAAUGAUUCAGAAGCAAGGAAAUUGGGUGCCAUACGAGUUGAAGCCGGCGAGAUGUUGAACGGCGUUUGUUUGCUUGUGAACAGCUGCUUGCAAAGCAAAGAUGGAAGGGAUUUCUGCAUCGUAUUGUGACUGGGGACGAAAAAUGGGUUCAUUACGAUAACCCAGAAAAUCAUGAGAACUUCCCGGCCAUGCUUCCACGUCGACGGCCAAACCGAAUAUUUACGGCUCCAAGGCGAUCGGUAUCGAAAGUAUUGAUGCGUUUUAGCCGAGCACUGAAAGACAAACGGCCGCAAUGCAACGAUAGACACAAUAAAGUGAUUUUGCAUCAUGACAGUGCUCGACCCCAUGUCGUAAAGCUUAUUAAAACACUUGGAAACAUUGAAAUGGGAAGUCCUGUCCCAUCCGCCGUAUUCUCCAGACGUUGCUCUCUCUAUCACUUGUUUCGAUCAAUGACACACGGCCUGGCUGACCAGCACUUCCGUUCUUAUGAAGAAGUGAAAAAUUGGAUCAAUUUGUGGAUCGUCUCAAAAGAUGACCAUUUUUUCGACGCGAGAUUCGUAUGCUGCCAGAAAGAUGGGAGAAAGUAGUGGCCAGCGAUGGACAAUACUUUGAAUCGUAAAUGUCUAACCAGUUUUUCACAAUAAAGUCUC
rnacentral:misc_RNA from 1 species